CAGCAAACAAUAAAAUAAAUCGUUUUAUUUCUAAAGGUUAUAAUGCGUAGACAUGCAAGCCUCAGUUUUUUGUUAAUUACGAAAAAUUGAUUGAUGCAAGCGACUUUUCUCUUGUACCAUCACGUUUCGUAACUUAAAGGGGGUGUGUGCAAAUACAAAGACAGGUGUUAUUUUGCAAAUAAUGUCUGCUCGAGGAGUACAGAGGUUUUUACCAGUGUUGGGUAUGCCAACAUCAGUGUUGCAGAUUGGUACAGUAACCAAAGAAACCAAGCAUGCGUUCCUAGUGAUACCAGGAAAUCCGGGCGUCAUAGAGUUCUACAAAUCUUUCAUGGAAAAACUGUACGAUAAUUACCAAGGAACAAUACCUGUGUGGGGGGUAUCACAUGCGGGUCACGUUAAACCACCAGACGGAAAUCAGGCCCUGUACA